rnacentral:misc_RNA from 1 species
AACUUUUAACAACGGAUCACUAGGCUCUCGCAACGAUGAAGAACGCAGCGAAUUGCGAUAAGUAAUGUGAAUUGCAGAAUUCCGUGAAUCAUUAAAUCUUUGAACGCACAUUGCGCCUGUUGGAAUUCCGAUAGGCAUGUCUGUUUGAGAAUCAGUUUAAUUAUCACUCCUUAUUUGGGCAACCAAACUAGCGAGUGGAUUUGGGAUGCGUCUUGUAAAAGACCAACCUUGAAGACAUCUGUUGCUUUGACCAGUGUUUUAAGCACCUCGAAGGCAUGACCAAGAACGCAAGUUCAUUGAUUGCUGACAAGAGAUGUGGAAGAUGCUGUAAUGGGCCAAAAUUCUCACGAAAAGGGCAACCUUUUUAAGACUUGAUCUCAAAUCAGACAAGACUACCCGCUGAACUUAAGCAUAUCAAUAAGCGGAGGCU